UUUGUCCCUAGUUUCCUGUGUCUGUAACAGACAGAGAUGGCAGAAUGUCAAGGAACUUCAGCCUUUUGUUGAGUCUCUAGAUAAUGAUAACUCAAAUCAACAGAAGAGAGCAGUUGUUCUCCUUGGCCUGUCCCAUUUCCUGAAAGAGGAUCCCUCCCAAUUCUUCAAGAUUUGUCAGGUACAUGAGGAAUUGAUGCCACUCUGGAAUCCCUAUCAGUUGCUAAUCUCAAUCUUUUUGAUCCAAAUGAAGUCAUGACCCUGUAGUUAUAGGAUAUCUAGAAAAUAUGUCUUGUUAUAAGAAUCCGGACAUGUGGAAAGACAUCUGCUUAAAUGGAGAACAAGUGAUGGAUAUUGCACGGAUUCUGGAGGAGCAUAGUUUUCUUUGGGACCUGAAGGAUGUGCCCAACGCAUUGGUUGAUGGGUCUGCUCGGUCUUCAACCUCCGUUAACCAAAAGGACUCAAGUACAUGUUCAAGGUACUUGAAAAGGUGACAAUAAACAUUGGUGGAGACACUUGCUCUUCAAGAGUUAAUGGACUCCAGAACAAGCUCAUGUCCAAGAGCCUGUAAAAGUAAAGAUUGCAAUGAUUAUCUUGUUGAUUUGUCAAGUAUUGUAUGUUCUGGAAAAUACAAAAUUAUUUUUUUGUGCGGCUGAUGGAUGGAUGGACUAGACAGUCCUAAUAGCUGUUUUUUAUUCUUCUCAAAAGUGCCACCCGUUAUCUUGCCUACUAUGUCAUGGAGUUACUGCUCCUUUCUUUGAAGUGUGCCUUUUAAGAACUUGUACCCUAGGUGAUAGUAAGGUCAGUUCUUCUUGGGAUGAAAAGGAGAAAACUAUUGCCAUUCAAUUUUUGUUUUUACUCACUCAAAUAGCCUUGUUAAAUUAUCA